rnacentral:rRNA from 1 species
GAUGAACGCUGGCGGCGUGCCUAAUACAUGCAAGUCGAGCGAACGGACGAGAAGCUUGCUUCUCUGAUGAUAGCGGCGGACGGGUGAGUAACACGUGGAUAACCUACCUAUAAGACUGGGAUAACUUCGGGAAACCGGAGCUAAUACCGGAUAAUAUUUUGAACCGCAUGGUUCAAAAGUGAAAGACGGUCUUGCUGUCACUUAUAGAUGGAUCCGCGCUGCAUUAGCUAGUUGGUAAGGUAACGGCUUACCAAGGCAACGAUGCAUAGCCGACCUGAGAGGGUGAUCGGCCACACUGGAACUGAGACACGGUCCAGACUCCUACGGGAGGCAGCAGUAGGGAAUCUUCCGCAAUGGGCGAAAGCCUGACGGAGCAACGCCGCGUGAGUGAUGAAGGUCUUCGGAUCGUAAAACUCUGUUAUUAGGGAAGAACAUAUGUGUAAGUAACUGUGCACAUCUUGACGGUACCUAAUCAGAAAGCCACGGCUAACUACGU